CCAUUUCUAGGCUGAACAAAGGUGGCCCUGUGAGCAGAGAAGAAACGCGUCUCAAACCAUGAGCAUGAGGUUCGGAGGAGCUCGCUUUCUGGCUCUUCUCUGCUUCUGGAUGGCGGUUCUGACGGCCAUCGGCGCCGUCGCCGUCGCCGGAGCAGAUUCCAACUAUUGCGAGUCACCCAACCAUCCCGGGAAACCACCUCGCAAGCUUUUUGCUGGAAUUCCGGGAGGAAGUUGUCCUCCCCCGUGAUAGAUAGAGUUUCCUGUGUAGCUGUGACAUAGUUUCAUAUGUUUAGGUGCUUGAUGACCAAUGGCCUUGUAUCUUUUAUGUAUUUUUGGAUAAUAUUGGUCUCCAGAUAGAAGCAACGCUUUGUGUUCUAUAGACUUUCUCUGAAAUUAACGAACUAGACGGAAGCUUGGAUAAGCAUGACAUGCAUAAAUCAUGUAGCCCUUGAAGGGUGUAAUAUUAUAACGUGCUUGUAUGAGUUUGCAACAGCGCAUUCUCACAGUUUUAUUACCGAGCUCUGGUCAGUGAUGCUCUUGCCAUGAUGGCUUGGAUAAUAUGUUACUACUACUUUUUCGUGUC